UUAACUAUUUUAUAGUACUCAGACGACAUGUAAUACAGAGUUGUGGUCCUCUGGCGGGCACGAUCCAGCCGAAGCCGGUGCUUGCGCGGCCCACCAAAGCAACAAAUUAAGAUAAUCAAGGGUGAGAAGGACCGGUUUCCCGGCUUCAUUUUUAAUGAUCCUUCCGCAGGUUCACCUACGGAAA
rnacentral:misc_RNA from 1 species